rnacentral:lncRNA from 1 species
UUACCCCUACCUUGUGAGGAUAGAGAGGCUGUUUCCAAUAGACCCUCGGCUUAGGAAAGCAUAAGCACCACAUUAAUGAAAAAUAUAGACAAGAAGGGAAAAUCAUAUAAAAGCUUUAUAAAAACAACAAGAUAGUAAGGUUUUUAUUGGAAAAAGAAAAACAGAAGUAAAUCAUCUUUCGUGUUUUUAUUGUCAAAUCAUUAUUAGAACAUUCCUUCCAAAUAGUAAUAAAAUAAAAUAGGCCGUCAAUUAUAAUUAUUAAAUAAUGUGAGGGUAGUUUAGUCUUUGUAUCUAAAAGUUAUUAUUAGCCGUUAAUAGUUGUUAGGGAGUUAGUUAAUUAGUUAAGAUUACGCAAUUAAGAGUAGUGUAUAAAUAUAUGUACUUAGCCUCCAAUAGUUAGGACACUAUACAAAAUUUUAGAUCUCUUCGUCUCUCUCUCUCUCUCUCUCUCUCUCUCUCUCUCUCAAUGACUAUGUCUUCUUCUUCCUAAAAUCUUCUCUGUAAACACUCUGUAAAUCACGACAUGGUAUCAGAGCUACUAAGCUUAGAAAGCUAGCUUACUUCUCGAUCCGAAUUACAGAUUCUACUUCUUUCUUUGUUCAUUUCCGUUUUCUAUCAACAACUACAAUUGCCAAAUCCGUGAAAUAUUGAAUCAAUAAGAAAAUGACGAUUUCUGAUGAACAAUUGGGGCAAACUCCAGGAAUUCAAAUCACUGGAGACCAAGUGAAUCAAAAUAUUGGAAAUCAAGCAUUAUUGACUAUAAUCAUCCACUCUUCUUAUCCCAUGCUGAUGUAAGUGGUAUUCAAAUCAUUUCGUUUCAAUUGACUGGAAUUGACAACUAUUCCAUCUGGUUUAGGUCUAUGCGAGUGGCUUUUCUAGGAAGAAAUAAGUUGGGUAUGGUUGAUGGUACAUGUAAGAAGGAGAAAUUCCCAUAGUCAAUGUGGAAUCAUUGGGAAGAGUCAAUGCAAUUGUGCUAUCUUGGAUUAUGAACUCAGUGGCAAAAGGACUUCUUGGAGGAAUUAUGUAUGCAUCGAGUGCUCAGGUAGUUUGGGAAAAUCUUUCACAGAGAUUCAACAAGGCUGAUGGAUCAAGAACCUAUAAUUUGCAUAAGGAAAUAGCAACUAUGUCACAAGGAACAUCUUCUUGUAUCAGUUUACUUCUCGAGGCUGAAGGACUUAUGGGAAGAAUUUGAGACUUUAGUGCCUGCACUUGGUUGUGAUUGUCCAAAAUCAAGAGAAUUUAUGGUGUACUUGCAGAAGUUGAAGUUAUACCAAUUCUUGAUGGGCUUAAACGAUUCAUACUCUCAAGCUAGAAGCUAAAUUUUGAUUGGAAGUCUCAUUCCCACAGUAAAUCAGGCAUAUGCACUAAUUGUAAGCGAUGAGGGGCAGAAAUCUGUUGCUGCAACCUCAGGAAUCUUGGGCUCUAAUCCUACAAGUCAAAUGAAAAAUUAUGAAGUUGCUAUGUACUCGAAAGCUGGAGGAAAUCAGAAUCAUAACCAAUGGUUCAGAAGAAAUUACAAUUUGUACUGUGAAUUUUGCAAGAUGAAGGGGUAUAGCAAAAAAAAACUGAUAUAAGAUUGUAGGAUAUCCUGCAGAUUUCAAGAACAUAAGAAGAGGAAAUGUUUGCACAAAUGCAGUAUACAAUGUUAAUCUACUGCUAAAAAUGAUCACUCUACUUCUCAAGAUCAUCAGCAACUGCCUAUGUUCAAUUAUGGACAAAAUACUAAUAUGCAGGAUCAAGUCAAAAUUGGAGGUAGUUCUCAAAGUUCUAAUCUGAACAUAGAGAACUGAGGCCUUGGUAACUAUGCUCUCACAAAAAUACAGUAUGGAUAGAUUCUUCAAAUGUUGAACAAAACCAAUGUGCCAAAUUCCCUUUCAACAGCUAAUGUGCCAGGUAUUGAUACAACUCUAUUAGUUUCUAAUUGUCUUAGUCAGUGGAUUAUAGAUACAUGAGCAACAAACCAUAUGGUGUCUGACAAAAAAUUAUUGGAUAAGGGAACAGUACUGAAACAAGCAAUCCAAAGAAAGUAUUAUUACCAAAUGGUGAUAUUACAAUUGUUACUCAUAUAGGAUCAAGUUCUAUAUUAGAUAAUAAUACAAUAACCAAAGAGUUGCAAUGCUCAGCAACAUUCUUCUCUGAUUUUUGUGUAUUUUAGGAGCUCUUAACUGGGAAGGUGAAGGGGAUUCGUAAAGAGGAUGGCGGCCUAUACCUACUAUAUACUAACACAACUGAAAGGAACAUAAUGGUUUCUUUAACUACAAGGGGAAAUGACACAACUGAAGCUGACAAAUCAGAUGUAAUUCUCUGGCAUAGAAGAUGUGGUCAUGUGUCUACACAGACUCUUAGGAAGUUACUACCUGUAGAUAUUGAUACUAUCAAGAAUAGAAUUAAUAAGUGCACAGUAUGUCUUUAUGCCAAAUAGGCUAGAUUAUCAUUUCCUAUAAGCAGUAUUCAAAGUAGAAUGUAUUUUGAUCUAAUACAUGUAGACUUGUGGGGGCCUUAUAGAAUUGCUACAUUAGAUAGAAACAAGUACUUUUUGACUAUUGUAGAUGAUUUUUAAAGAAUGACUUGGGUGUUUCUACUAAAGUAAAAGUCUGAUGCAUGUGUUUCAAUUCAACAUUUCUUCAAUUAUGUCAGAACUCAGUUUGAUAAAACAGUAAAGGCAAUUGAAACUGAUAAUGGUACAGAGUUUGUGAACUCUGUGUGUGAACAAUUAUUCAAAAACUUGAGAGUCAUACAUCAAAGAACCUGUGCAUAUACCCCUCACAAGAAUAGGGUAGCUGAGAGAAAAUACAUGCACAUAUUAGAAGUCAUAAGGGCUAUCCGAUUUUAAGCACAAAUACCUAUUAAGUUUUGGGGUCACUACAUAUUAGUUGUUGUCUACUCAAUAAACAGAAUGCCCAUCUUAGUCAUUAACAACAUGUCUCCUUUUGAAAGAUUAUAUAAAAGGAAGCCUUCUCUAAUGCAUCUUAGAAUAUUGAGUUGUCUAUGCUUUGCUAAAACUAUACAAGAGCAUGACAAGCUAAUGCCAAGAGAAACAAUAUCCAUACAUAUGGGAUACUAAGAAGUUCAAAAGGGGUAUAUCCUAUAUGAUCCUUCAACAAGUCAUUUUUCAUAAGUAGAGAUGUAGUAUUUAGAGAAGAUAUAUUUUCCUUUAUCAAGAAAGAGUAUAGCUCUCAACCAAUAUUUGUUGAUACAACACCAGACUCAGGAAUGCAACUAGAUAAUCCUAUAAUAUUAUUUGAGAAUAGAACAUGAGCUACAAACACUAAUGAGGGUGACAUCACUGGAAAAGGUGAAACAAACAAUCAGCACAACACAGACGAAGGCUAUACAGACAUGCAUACAGAACAUACAAACGUGGAUUUCUAUACAGAACCUACAUAACCUGAUCAUAAUUCACAAGAAAUACCACAUACUACUAUUGAGAUACAGUAUCAACCACCAACUGAAGUCAGGAAAUCUUGCAGAGACAAACAUCCUCCAGUCUGGAUGAGAGAUUUUGUGUCUCUCAAUAUUCAUCAAAAUGUACCUUAUGCUCUAAACAAAUAUAUCAGCUAUGAUCAUCUCUUCUCUAAAUAUCAGUCCUAUGUAGCUGCAACUUCAUUAGUUACUGAACCAACUAACUACUUUGAAGCAAUCCUAGAUCCAAGAUGGAUACAAACAAUUGAUGAAGAGAUAAGAGCACUUGAGAGCAAUCAUACCUGGGACAUUGUAACACUACCAAAAGGCAAGAAACCUAUAGGAUGCAAGUGAAUUUACAAAAUCAAGUAUAAAGCCUUAGAUGAAUUUGAAAGGUUCAAAGCUAAAUUAAUAGCCAAAGACUACAACCAAAAAAAGGGAAUUGAUUAUCAAGAAACAUUUUCACCAGUGGUGCAAAUAAUCACAGUAAGAACCAUUCUUGCCUUAGCAGCUACAAGGAAGUGGCAUAUACAUCAAAUGGAUGUAUAUAAUGCCUUUCUUCAAGGUGACUUAUUUGAUGAAAUUUACAUGAAAUUACCACAGGGAUUUAAAAGUCAGGGGGAGAACACUGUGUGUAGAUUUAUUAAAUCCCUGUAUGGGCUCAAACAAGCCCCUAGACAAUAGAAUGCAAAACUGUGUGAAGCCUUGCUGAGAUUCAACUUCAAACAAAGUCAGUAUGAUUAUUCUCUAUUCAUCAGAAAAAUAUUUGAAGGUACUACUAUAAUUCUAGUAUAUGUAGAUGAUAUGUUAAUCAUAGGUGACAGUCUGCAAUUGAUUGAGGAGACUAAAAACCUACUGCAUAAUGCAUUCAAAAUGAAAGAUCUAGGGGAGCUAAAAUACUUCUUAGGGAUUGAGUUUGCCAAAUGUAAUCAAGGAAUAACUAUGCAUAAAAGAAAAUAUGCUUUGGAACUAAUCUCAGAAGUGGGCCUAGCUGCAGCCAAACCAGCACUAACCCCUAUUGAUGUUAACAUCAAACUAACCUCUAAGCAGUAUGAUGACUACAUUGGUAAGACAGAAUGUUUAGAAGAAUAAGACACAUUGGUUGAUCAAACUUUCUAUCAAAGAUUAAUAGGAAAACUUCAAUAUUUAAUUGUAACCAGGCCAGAUAUAGCAUUUGGAGUUCAAACUCUUAGCCAAUUCCUUCAACAGCCCAAAAUCACACAUAUAAGCUGCUUUAAGGAUAGUAAAAUAUGUUAAAGUCAGCCAGGGCAAGGGAUUUUGCUAUCAAGUAUACCGAAUAAUACAAUCAUUGCCUUCUGUGAUGCAGAUUGGGAUGCAUGCCCUUUGACUAGAAAAUCAGUUAUAGGGUUCCUAGUUAAAGUUGGUGAAUCCUUAGUCUCAUAAAAGUCUAAGAAACAAACUACUGUAUCUCGAAGCUCUGCGAAAGCUGAAUUCAAAAGCUUAGCAACAACUGUAGCUGAACUCAUUUAGUUGUAUGGUUUACUAAUAGAAGUUGAUACACAGAUUCAGUUACCUAUCAAUAUUUACGGUGACAGCAAAUCAACUAUACAAAUAGCUGCAAACCCAGUCUAUCAUGAAAGAACCAAGCACAUUGAAAUUGAUUGUCACUUUGUGAGAGAAAGAAUUCAACAGAGACUUGUCAUCACCAAAUAUGUUGCAACAACAGAUCAACCUGCUGCUAUUCUUAUAAAGGGAUUAACCAAAGUGCAAUAUGAAUAUUUGAAAUCCAAGCUAGGUGUGAUCAAUAUUUUUUUACUACCUAACUUGAGGGGGAGUGUUAAAUAAUAUGAGGGUAGUUUAGUCUUUGUAUCUAAAAGUUGUUAUUAGUCGUUAAUAGUUGUUAGGGAGUUAGUUAAUUAGUUAAGAUUACACAAUUAAGAGUAGUGUAUAAAUAUAUGUACUUAGCAUUCACUAGUUAGGACAAUAUACAUAAAUAUAUGUAUAAAUAUAUCAGCUAUGAUCAUCUCUUCUCUAAAUAUCAGUCCUAUGUAGCUGCAACUUCAUUAGUUACUGAACCAACUAACUACUUUGAAGCAAUCCUAGAUCCAAGAUGGAUACAAAUAAUUGAUGAAGAGAUAAGAGCACUUGAGAGCAAUCAUACCUGGGACAUUGUAACACUACCAAAAGGCAAGAAACCUAUAGGAUGUAAGUGAAUUUACAAAAUCAAGUAUAAAGCCUUAGAUGAAUUUGAAAGGUUCAAAGCUAAAUUAAUAGCCAAAGACUACAACCAAAAAAAGGGAAUUGAUUAUCAAGAAACAUUUUCACCAGUGGUGCAAAUAAUCACAGUAAGAACCAUUCUUGCCUUAGCAGCUACAAGGAAGUGGCAUAUACAUCAAAUGGAUGUAUAUAAUGCCUUUCUUCAAGGUGACUUAUUUGAUGAAAUUUACAUGAAAUUACCACAGGGAUUUAAAAGUCAGGGGGAGAACACUGUGUGUAGAUUUAUUAAAUCCCUGUAUGGGCUCAAACAAGCCCCUAGACAAUGGAAUGCAAAACUGUGUGAAGCCUUGCUGAGAUUCAACUUCAAACAAAGUCAGUAUGAUUAUUCUCUAUUCAUCAGAAAAAUAUUUGAAGGUACUACCAUAAUUCUAGUAUAUGUAGAUGAUAUGUUAAUCACAGGUGACAGUCUGCAAUUGAUUGAGGAGACUAAAAACCUACUGCAUAAUGCAUUCAAAAUGAAAGAUCUAGGGGAGCUAAAAUACUUCUUAGGGAUUGAGUUUGCCAAAUGUAAUCAAGGAAUAACUAUGCAUAAAAGAAAAUAUGCUUUGGAACUAAUCUCAGAAGUGGGCCUAGCUGCAGCCAAACCAGCACUAACCCCUAUUGAUGUUAACAUCAAACUAACCUCUAAGCAGUAUGAUGACUACAUUGGUAAGACAGAAUGUUUAGAAGAAUAAGACACAUUGGUUGAUCAAACUUUCUAUCAAAGAUUAAUAGGAAAACUUCAAUAUUUAAUUGUAACCAGGCCAGAUAUAGCAUUUGGAGUUCAAACUCUUAGCCAAUUCCUUCAACAGCCCAAAAUCACACAUAUAAGCUGCUUUAAGGAUAGUAAAAUAUGUUAAAGUUAGCCAGGGCAAGGGAUUUUGCUAUCAAGUAUACCGAAUAAUACAAUCAUUGCCUUCUGUGAUGCAGAUUGGGAUGCAUGCCCUUUGACUAGAAAAUUAGUUAUAGGGUUCCUAGUUAAAGUUGGUGAAUCCUUAGUCUCAUAAAAGUCUAAGAAACAAACUACUGUAUCUCGAAGCUCUGCGGAAGCUGAAUUCAAAAGCUUAGCAACAACUGUAGCUGAACUCAUUUAGUUGUAUGGUUUACUAAUAGAAGUUGAUACAUAGAUUCAGUUACCUAUCAAUAUUUACGGUGACAGCAAAUCAACUAUACAAAUAGCUGCAAACCCAGUCUAUCAUGAAAGAACCAAGCACAUUGAAAUUGAUUGUCACUUUAUGAGAGAAAGAAUUCAACAGAGACUUGUCAUCACCAAAUAUGUUGCAACAACAGAUCAACCUGCUGCUAUUCUUAUAAAGGGAUUAACCAAAGUGCAACAUGAAUAUUUGAAAUCCAAGCUAGGUGUGAUCAACAUUUUUUCACCACCUAACUUGAGGGGGAGUGUUAAAUAAUAUGAGGGUAGUUUAGUCUUUGUAUCUAAAAGUUGUUAUUAGUCGUUAAUAGUUGUUAGGGAGUUAGUUAAUUAGUUAAGAUUACACAAUUAAGAGUAGUGUAUAAAUAUAUGUACUUAGCAUUCACUAGUUAGGACAAUAUACAGAAUUUUAGCUCUCUUCCUCUCUCUCUCAAUGACUAUGUCUUCUUCUUCCUAAAAUCUACUCUGUAAACACUCUGUAAAUCACGACAAUAAUAAUAGGGAAUAAUAUAGUUAUAGUGUCUUCAUGAAAGUCUUUAGAAAGUCAUAGCAUCUUCAUGAAGGUCUCGAAGAUUAUCUUCUCUUUUGCCAAAUAUAUAUACAUACACAAUAUUAUAUUUUUAUAGUGUAUGUGCCAAAUAUAUGUACCUUGAUAUUUUUAUAUUUAACUAAAAUAUAAUGAAGUCACUCGUGAAAUGAUUGAUCGUGGAGUGUAACUGUCUUUACCGGUCGAAGCCAAUAAAGGAAAAUUCCCAGAACCAAGCUUUGGUAGGGCCCAAGGGAAGGCAGAUGUGAAAUAAGGAUUUUAAGUUAUAUGGAUUGAUAAUGUAAAAACUAUUUAUAAUAUUUUUAUCAUUUAACUGUCAUAGCAAGUUAGGAGUACUAAUUAAGUGUUAUUAUUAAGUUUUCAAUUAAAGUUUAGUUUUUAUAUAUUGAUAAUGCAAAAACAUUAUGUAAGUGGGAAAUGACCUAAAAGAUAACUGCAUGUAACCAUCCAAAUAUAUGAGAAUAGUAAUUUGAAAAACAAGACGAGUAACCUACGGAUUAAAAUAAAAUUAUACUAAAAGUCUGGGCUAUCUGCGUACAUAAAUUAAUCGAACCAAUUGAAGGGUCUUCUAGGAGGCUAUUAUAAUUUUGCAAAGAGUUCUAGUGUUUAGAUCGCAAACUAAUUAACUGUAGAUCGGAUGCAAUCAUUUUUAGUUAAAACACCACUAUUAAAUACCAUAAAAUUCGAAACCAUCAAUGAGUAGGAGUAGAAAUAUAAAUUAUAAUCAAUGUGUAAUAUUAUACUCAACACUUACUAUCGCCCACUAAAAAGAAAAAUAAGAGAUCGUAACAUUCACCGCUGAAAAUAUAUGAUCAAUGAAGCUUAGUAAGAAAAAAGGACAACUUGGAAAAAAAAUUGAAUUAAUAUUUAAACUUCUCGAUCUUGUUCUUUAAUUGGGGGUAAGCAAGAAUUUUCAAAUUUCACCGACUGUCAUUUUCUUCUAUUUUUUUUAUUUAAAAGGGAAGGUGUAAAAAAUAUAUCAAUUGAAAUUUUUGGAUUUGGAAGCAGAAGAAAGAAUGAAGGAGUCAAGUAAUUAGACUACCAAACGUUGUGGCGGAGUGAUAAGUACUUGAUCAUCAUUAACUAACGCUUAGAAUUUGAGCCUUGGGUCUGGAAUCGCCUUUUAUAAGACCUGCAAAGUGAAAUUUCGCAGGUUCAAACCUGACUUAAUCAGACUCCAAAGCCGAUACCGUCAUACUGACACUGAUUAAAAAAAAAACACAAGUAAAAGACAUACCAAAGAGAUCCCGGCCAGAUAAAAUAUUGAAAACAUCUGGUGCUCCAAGUUUCUGAUUAGGAUACGCAACAUAAGUAAGGCUAGCAAUCAAUGUAUAUAUAUAUAUAUAUCAUAUAUGCAUGGAAAUAAACAAGAUCAACGUACUUGGGAGCUUAAAAUGGUUGAAAAAAUUGGCCAUUUCGAUACGAUACAAUAUCAUAGGUCAUAGUUUUUGUGUUUGGAAAUUUCUUUCCAUCUUCUUUAUUUUGACUUGUUUGGG